GAGUUUGAUCAUGGCUCAGGAUGAACGCUAGCGGCAGGCUUAACACAUGCAAGUCGAGGGGUAUAGGUUUUCGGACCUAGAGACCGGCGCACGGGUGCGUAACGCGUAUGCAAUCUACCUUUUACUGAGGGAUAGCCCAGAGAAAUUUGGAUUAAUACUUCAUAGUAUUAUUGAAUGGCAUCAUUUAAUAAUUAAAGUUCCAACGGUAAAAGAUGAGCAUGCGUCCCAUUAGCUAGAUGGUAAGGCAACGGCUUACCAUGGCAACGAUGGGUAGGGGUCCUGAGAGGGAGAUCCCCCACACUGGUACUGAGACACGGACCAGACUCCUACGGGAGGCAGCAGUGAGGAAUAUUGGUCAAUGGGCGCAAGCCUGAACCAGCCAUGCCGCGUGCAGGAUGACGGUCCUAUGGAUUGUAAACUGCUUUUGUACAGGAAGAAACAACUGGUUCGUGAACCAGCUUGACGGUACUGUAAGAAUAAGGAUCGGCUAACUCCGUGCCAGCAGCCGC
rnacentral:rRNA from 1 species